GUUAUUUGAUUCCUCUUUUCGAACACCGCAGGGGUCACGGUGGCUUUCUGAUGAGGUAAGAGAACUUAUCAUUAUUGAUUCUGAUUUCAAGGUUCUGCUCCUUCUGAAGCAUUUGCAGUGCAGAGACCAUUAAUAGUUUAAAAUGUGCGGGUAGGUGGGGGGGUUUAUAUUGCAAAACUCUGAUAAGGUUUCACCCAUACACUUCAAUAGGAAAAAAUGUGAUCAACCACAACACAGAUGUUGUGACAUCUGUGACAUCAUAAUACCCGGUUUCAGUAUAUGCAGAAAGAACCUUUAUCAGCAAUUAUAUUCCUUUUGAUGUUUUUGUGUACAGCACUCAAGCAGUUACUUCAAAAAUUGUUGCUGUUGUUGUAUAAACUCUGAUUUUUCAAAACAGGUCAUUGAUGCAUACCUGCACUGUGUUAUUGAGAGACGAAAGAAUGCUGUACACCUGCUCUGUUCAGUGGUUGCAAGCUUGUUGUUUUCUGGGCAGUUCAGAUGCCUCAACAAGAUGAAGUUCCCAGUUGAAGACAUGUGGCUGUGCUCUGUGAAUUUUGGUACACACUGGAUUCUUGUAAUUGUCAACAUUUCUGCACAGAAAAUACUACUCAUAGACCCCAUGGGGAAUGAAGGUGUUUAUGACAGGAAAAUUCUGCGCAACUGGAGGAAUUUUCUGAGGAUGAGAGGGCAUGAAGACAUUAUGGAGUGGCAGUUACAGACUAUGCAACACAACAAGCAACAGGAUUCCAGCAGUUGCGGAGUUUUACUGUUAAAGUUUGCAGAACACUACCUUGAUUUUGGAGAGGUCAGUGAGGUGUUAACCACUACAGAGGCAGUUGUGCUGGAACGAAUGCAGAUAGCUUGUACCCUACUUGAAAAUCGAGGUAAGUUCAGUAAAGUUCUUAUCACGUUAGAGUGUGUACUUCCAAUUUAAAUAGUGCUUUUCAAACAGCACAGUACAAAUAGUGCUCUUCAAACACUUUCAGAUAAGACCCUUCUCAAAGUCUAAUUAAAAAAAUUCAGGAGACUAAUUUUCCAUGAAGUAUAUUUGGAAAAAAUGUACUAUUAUUUUUAAAUUAUUCAAUAAAUUUUGAAUGUGCAAAAUAUAAAGAGUGCAACCAAGAAUAUAAAUGCCAAAAAUGUAAGGAAAACACAUAACAACUUCAAAUAAAAACAGCUGUCUUUUUCCCUCCAUGUGUGUUGGUAUUCUUUGUCAACAUUAGAUGAUUGUGUGCUGGAAGCAUGUUUUAAUAGUGUGAUUUGGCCAUCUGAACGUCCUACCUAUACGACGGAGCCAUUAACCACGUAAGGUAGCAUAUUCUGAUAAGGUAGCACGGAUUGAUAGACAAGACCAUAAAUUUACGCUACGGUAGGAUGUUUUGACAAGGUAGGACGUUUUGUCAGAACCCGGCAGCCUUGCCUCUGUCAGUGCGCCCCAGGGUGGCUGUGGCUACAAUGUAGCUUGCCAUCACCAGUGUGUGGAUGACUGGAUGUAUAAAGUGCUUUGGGGUCCUUAGGGACUAGUAAAGCGCUAUACAAAUAAAGGCCAUUUACCAUUUACCAUUUGUCCUUUUUACGAAUUUUUCAUUUUACCGGUAUGUUUGUAAUGUUUAUAGAUUUUUAACUGCCAUGUCACAACGCCUCGGGUAUAGGUGAUGUAGGGAUCUUUUCCAGUAGAAGAGUUGUAUGAUCCGCAAAACGCUCCUUUUUGAUUUGGCAGAUGCUGCUGACACCACUCCUCUCUCCUUUUCAUGAGGAGUCAGGAAAUGAAAAG
ensembl:lncRNA